AACAAGAUGUAGUUCUCUCAGCUUGUGAUAAUAUGUAAACACCUGCACUUCAUUCAACUUAUUUACAGGAUGCCUUUUAGCAAUUGAAUUAUGACAUGCCAACUUAACACGUAGUGGACCUAGUUCAAAAAAAACAAGCUCUUUAUGUCGAGGAAGGAAUUCUUGAGAAUCUGGUGAGUAAUCUUGGAAACAAUUGGGCAAUCUGUAGGUUCUUCACUUGCUCUCAUCGCUAAAUUACUCCAUUCAUUCUGAUAUCUGGACUUGCUACCUCUGAUUUACUUGGAGAUCAUCAACAAGAGGACAAUCAAGCACUGCUGUUGGAUUUGACUUGCUUCGAUUUACUAUAAGUAGUAAAAUCGUUCUCAAAAUCCACCAACCCAAUGGACUCUGGGGAGAAAGGUUCAGCCUGAUGUAUGCUAUUAGCAUUGAAAGUUGUCCCGAUCAUAGCAAGAUCAAUCAAACUUUUACCUAGCUGAGUUAUCUUCAUCUCAAUCAUAGUAUCUUCGAGGAGCAAACUGUUAUUGGACUACACGUCGCACAUGUCCAAUAGUAGGAAUAAUCGGCGCUUCUCUGAGAGCUUCACAAAAGCAAUGUGUGUUUCAUCAACGUUCAGAUCAGAUAUUGGAGUUUUCUGUAAACUGGCGGAGCUGUUGGAGACUUUGGCAUCAUAAAUUGCAGCAAGACUGAAAUCCUGAAUUGCACCUCCAGGUGUUCUAGAAAAUUAGUCAUGUUUGCCUCCUAUGUUAUCUUCUGAUAAAUCUGUUCUUUCCAAAUGCUUUAAGAGGUUGAAAUAAAUACAAACUACAGAAGCAUCAUGGUCGUUGAUGUAUUCAAAUUCUGUAUUCUUCAAGGAAUCACAAGUGGGCACAGUUUCGUCUAAAGGAACCAAACCAUCUGAUCAACUUGGAGAAAUAUCCAUGGUUCUAAGGAUGGAAAGGGUGCUAACUAUGCUAUUUGAAGCAGAAGACUGGUAAUGUAACUAGGAAUGCAACCUCAGGUGUCCUCAACUUUCUUCUUAUAAUCAAGGAUGAUGAGUUUAUUGCAUAUGAACCUACAAGGCGAGCUUUGCCAGUUGGAAAUUUCUGUUAUAUGCUUCACUCGCUGAUGUCUUUUGGACUAGAGGUCUGUUGGCCACAUGGAUGCUGCUGCUCAUUGCCUCACUCUUCCUUUUAACCAGAAGAAGUCCACUUCUAACUGUCUUGGUAUAACCAUUCUGUCCAUGAGUCACCAGAAGCAUCAAGCACUCUGUCAUCAAUGAAACUAGAGAACAUCUGUCUGCUUGUAAUUGAUAAAAUGAAUUGUGAAGCAACUUUUCAGGAUCACCA